UACGUAGGCAGCGAGCGUUGUUCGGAAUUACUGGGCGUAAAGGGCGCGUAGGCGGUUCGCUAAGUUGAAUGUGAAAACUCUGGGCUUAACCCAGAGCCUGCAUUCAAUACUGGCGGGCUAGAGUUCUGGAGGGGAUAGCGGAAUUCCUGGUGUAGCGGUGAAAUGCGUAGAUAUCAGGAGGAACACCGGUGGCGAAGGCGGCUAUCUGGACAGAGUCUGACGCUGAGGCGCGAAAGCUAGGGGAGCAAACAGG
rnacentral:rRNA from 1 species